UGGAGUUACUACAGAUCUAAUCCAGGACCCAGAGUAUGCAGAUCGAGUUAAGUAUCAACCAACUACAGACAAGGACUCCACCCUGAGAAUCACAGACCUGAGAGAGAGUGACUCUGCUGAAUAUAAGUUUAGAUUUAUAACAACUGCGGUAAAAUGGGGAAACAGCUUCCCUGGAAUAACUCUGUCACAGACCUGCAGGUGAAGGAGACUCCUGGCACAGAGGAAGAGAAGGUGACACUGACCUGUAGCACCACCUGUACUCUAACUGACAACCCCACCUACAUCUGGUACAAGAACGGACAACUUCUCACCAACCCAAACACCCAAGAUAACUACCUCUACUUAGACCAAAUCAGCAGUGGGGACGCAGGCAGCUACUCCUGUAGUGUUAAAGGCUACGAGAAUAUCCGUUCUCCUGUUACAUUCUUUGGGGAGCCAAAGUCUUUGAAGAAUGCAGUUGUAGGAAUCAUAGUGGUUAUUCUAAGUCUCAUACUCUGUCUCUUUGGGUUCAUGUGGUUCAGGAAGAAGGCCUCCAAAUCCACCUCUGACACAAGAGACAGAAGAGACACAGCAGAGAACGGACAGAGAGACUCUAAUCCAGUGUAUGACAACAUCUCAGGCAUGAACUUGGCCCCUAUUGCAGCACAGAGAGCGAUCACAGACGAGCAGGGUGACAUUACCUACGCCAGCAUCCAACACAGAAACCAGGAAGUGCCUCUUGACUCCACCGUCCCACCGUCUCACCCCCAGAAACAGGACGAGGAUUUCCAGUACACUACUGUGAAAUUCAACAGCCCCAGUGCUGCUCAAUAGACAUUGGGAGGGAUUCAAUCCAAUCAUAGGUUAUAGACAUUGGGAGGGAUUCAAUCCAAUCAUAGGUUAUAGACAUUGGGAGGGAUUCCAUCCAAUCAUAGGUUAUAGACAUUGGGAGGGAUUCCAUCCAAUCAUAGGUUAUAGACAUUGGGAGGGAUUCCAUCCAAUCAUAGGUUAUAGACAUUGGGAGGGAUUCCAUCCAAUCAUAGGUUAUAGACAUUGGGAGGGAUUCAAUCCAAUCAUAGGUUAUAGACAUUGGGAGGGAUUCCAUCCAAUCAUAGGUUAUAGACAUUGGGAGGGAUUCAAUCCAAUCAUAGGUUACAGACAUUGGGAGGGAUUCCAUCCAAUCAUAGGUUAUAGACAUUGGGAGGGAUUCCAUCCAAUCAUAGGUUAUAGACAUUGGGAGGGAUUCCAUCCAAUCAUAGGUUAUAGACAUUGGGAGGGAUUCAAUCCAAUCAUAGGUUAUAGACAUUGGGAGGGAUUCCAUCCAAUCAUAGGUUAUAGACAUUGGGAGGGAUUCCAUCCAAUCAUAGGUUAUAGACAUUGGGAGGGAUUCCAUCCAAUCAUAGGUUAUAGACAUUGGGAGGGAUUCCAUCCAAUCAUAGGUUAUAGACAUUGGGAGGGAUUCAAUCCAAUCAUAGGUUAUAGACAUUGGGAGGGAUUCCAUCCAAUCAUAGGUUAUAGACAUUGGGAGGGAUUCCAUCCAAUCAUAGGUUAUAGACAUUGGGAGGGAUUCAAUCCAAUCAUAGGUUAUAGACAUUGGGAGGGAUUCCAUCCAAUCAUAGGUUAUAGACAUUGGGAGGGAUUCCAUCCAAUCAUAGGUUAUAGACAUUGGGAGGGAUUCCAUCCAAUCAUAGGUUAUAGACAUUGGGAGGGAUUCCAUCCAAUCAUAGGUUAUAGACAUUGGGAGGGAUUCCAUCCAAUCAUAGGUUAUAGACAUUGGGAGGGAUUCCAUCCAAUCAUAGGUUAUAGACAUUGGGAGGGAUUCCAUCCAAUCAUAGGUUAUAGACAUUGGGAGGGAUUCCAUCCAAUCAUAGGUUAUAGACAUUGGGAGGGAUUCCAUCCAA